AGCGAACGCUGGCGGCAGGCCUAACACAUGCAAGUCGAACGAAGUCUUCGGACUUAGUGGCGGACGGGUGAGUAACACGCGGGAGCGUGCCUUUAGGUUCGGAAUAACUCAGGGAAACUUGUGCUAAUACCGAAUGUGCCCUUCGGGGGAAAGAUUUAUCGCCUUUAGAGCGGCCCGCGUCUGAUUAGCUAGUUGGUGGGGUAAAGGCUCACCAAGGCUACGAUCAGUAGCUGGUCUGAGAGGAUGACCAGCCACAUUGGGACUGAGACACGGCCCAAACUCCUACGGGAGGCAGCAGUGGGGAAUCUUGCGCAAUGGGCGAAAGCCUGACGCAGCCAUGCCGCGUGGAUGAUGAAGGUCUUAGGAUUGUAAAAUCCUUUCACCGGUGAAGAUAAUGACUGUAGCCGGAGAAGAAGCCCCGGCUAACUUCGUGCCAGCCGCCGCGGUAAGAC
rnacentral:rRNA from 1 species